UCAGUUACCGCUGCAGACAGAUGUUUCAAGGAAUUUGUGGUGUACCAGCAAAAACACAACAACUGGCCCGCUUGAAAUAAACAUCAAUGAGGACGUCUCCACUCUCCCGAAUACAUGUGAAAAGUCGACUGACGUUUGCAACGAUAACACAGAAGCUGAAAAAAGGCUGUCCAUCCAGUGCGCACAGACUGCCCACAUAGAAGCGUCUGGGCUGGCCAAUACUCCGAGCGAAGAGUUGGAGAAGUCCUCUCAGUCCCAGGCUGAUAUUCAUUCUGUCGUCUCUGUUCAGAACAGUCAGAGUUGUGAAAAAUCCACACAAUCCCUUUCUGGAGAUCAGAAUCUUCCCAGUGUCUCCUCCAUGGAAAGUGAAACACAGCUUGGCAAAAAUCAAGAGAAAACUGUUUUGCUCAAUGCAACCAUGGAGAUGACCUUAAGUGAAGCCACUGAGAUAGUCACUGUGGAAACAAAAGCGAAAAAAAAAGUCAGCUCUGGCAGAAAGGACAAGGAGCAAAGCUGCGGCUCAAGUAUAGAAGUGCAGAAGUCUGUAUCUUUGUUACAGUCACAUAAAAAGCCGCUGAAGGAUCAAAGUACUGUCACUCGCAUCCCUAAACUGGGCAAGCAUCAGAAGGUCAAAUCAAAGGAUAAAGUCAAAUCUUCUGACCGCACUAACAUCACAAAUGUAGACCAAAUGGAUGUGGAAGAUUACUUCUCUGAUCCUAAAAUUAGGUUUUCAAGCACCAGCAGAAGUGUGGCUGACGAAGCAAGUUCCAAAAUAACAUGCAGGAAGUCCAGAGCUAAAGGAAAGAGGGCCUCUUCAGUAACCAGGAAAAGUUUAUUCACUGUGCCGUCUGAUGAAAGUGAGAGCAGCCAAUCCCACCAGGAGAAGGUCCAAAAACCUAAAGCAGGAGAUGAAAGUUUAGAGUCUCAAGUCUCUGAGGACGCUCUGCUUUGUGCACAUCCAGAGUCCCAGCAUGCGGAGCGUCUGUCCUUUAGCAAAACUAAUACUGUGACUAAUUCUAGGGGAGGUCACAAAUCAAGAUGCAGGGAGACAUUUGUUAUCUCAAUAACCAGCGACAGUGACUCACCAGAGCAUGAUGUGGCGCCUCCUACAGGAUCCAGCUUUCAGGCAGAAGCAGCAGUCAUGAAUAAAAGCAUUGUUGGACAUGUAGAAUCAAGCAAUCGUUCAAAGACUCGGCGCUCUGGGAAGCGAUCCUGGGUGGCCACUCAGGACUCUGGGAACUGUCAAGAGGACUCGAGCAGCGGUGACAGUGGUGAAGCACUGCCGCUGGAUUGGCAGGCGGCUUUAGGAUCACAGUUUCAAAAACGUAAAAAAUCCAGGAGAGACAAAACAGGGCAGCCCUACAGGAACAAAGUGGUGCAGCGAGAAGAGGGUGAUGACUUGUUAGAUGACAAGACGAAGAAAAAAGACAACAAAGACUUAAGGUCUGAGAGUGAAACGUGUUAUCCUCCUGACCCUAGAGACGCCUCCGCUCUCUGCCUUGAUUCUGAAAUCGCUAAAGGUCAAUUACAUGAUUUACAAAUGCUCGACUCACAUUCUGCCAUCAGUGAAAAGCAUGAAAUCUUUGAACAUCUGAAUGAUUCGCAGUCCAGGAGGGAUUCGAGUCCCGCAUCAUCUAGAAAUGUAUUCAUGCUGAACACAGCCAUGGAAACCAGAUAUCCCAGGAAGACUUUUGUUGUCUACAGACGAAAAACUAAGAACAGAAGUGGAUGUAGUUCUGAAAACAUCACCAGGAUGUCGAACGCAUCAGACACCUGCAGUCACACGGUGGACACCAGCGAUCAGGCAGUUCAUCAGAAUGUGGGCGACCUGCUGAUGGAUGAGCUGCCGCCGUGGCUGGACGUGGAUAACAGCACAGCUCACAUCACUGUGGACUCUCUGCUCGCCACUCCAAACAGGGAAACACCAGGCAGGCUCGCGACGAUUGGAACGGCUGAAGCCUCUCCAGGCAGAGUCUUAUCAACAGUAACCAACACUUUGACAACACCAGACUGUGAAAAUGGAGAGAGAAGCAGGAGACGGAGACCUGGGAAGGGUGCCGUGAGUUACAAGGAGCCGCCUCUCAACAGCAAAAUAAGGCGUGGAGAUAAAUUCACUGACACCACAUUCCUGAGUUCUCCUGUGUUUAAGGAUGGCCGGAAGAAAAAGAAGAAGACGACGACGACUGUCGACUGA
ensembl:lncRNA